rnacentral:rRNA from 1 species
UCGCGAAACCUCCGCAAUGCGCGCAAGCGUGACGGGGGGAUUCUGAGUGCUUACGGUUUAACCGUAGGCUUUUCGUUAGGGCAAACACCUAGCGGAAUAAGUGGUGGGCAAGACUGGUGCCAGCCGCCGCGGUAACCCCAGCGCCACAAGUGGGAACCACGUUUAUUGGGUCUAAAGCAUCCGUAGCCGGCUUGGCAAAUGCCCUGUGAAAUCGAUCCGCUCAACGGAUCGGCGUGCAGGGUAGACUACCAAGCUUGGGACCAGAGGAGGAGGGCGGUAUUCCUGAGGGAGCGGUAAAAUGUGAUAAUCUCAGGAGGACCACCAAUGGCGAAGGCAGCCCUCUAAUAUGGAUCCGACGGUGAGGGAUGAAAGCUAGGGGAGCGAUCCGG